AGGUCACUGCUAUUGGGGUUCGACUAAGCCAUGCGAGUCGAGAGGGGUCAAGCCCUCGGCGAACUGCUCAGUAUAACGUGAGUAAUCUGCCCUCAGAUUGAGGAUAACCCCGGAAAACUGGGAAUAAUACUCAAUAGGUAAAGAGGUCUGGAAGGAUUCUUUGCCCAAAGCUCCGGCGUCUGAGGAUGAGCUUACGUCCGAUUAGGUUGUUGGCGGUGUAAUGGACCACCAAGCCUUCGAUCGGUACGGGCACUGAGAGGUGUAGCCCGGAGAUGGGGACUGAGACACGGCCCCAGGCCCUACGGGGCGCAGCAGGCGCGAAAACUCCGCAAUGCUCGAAAGAGUGACGGGGGGACCCCAAGUGCCUAGUCUUCGGAUUAGGCUUUUUUAGAGUCUAGAAAGCUCUAAGAAUAAGAGCUGGGUAAGACCGGUGCCAGCCGCCGCGGUAACACCGGCAGCUCGAGUGGUGGCCGCUUUUAUUGGGCCUAAAGCGUUCGUAGCCGGUCUGGUAAGUCUCUGGGUAAAUCCUAUUGCUUAACUCUAGGAAUUCUGGAGAUACUGCCAGACUUGAGGUCGAGAGAAGUCGGAGGUACUCUUGGGGUAGGAGUGAAAUCCUGUAAUCCUGAGGGGACCACCAGUGGCGAAGGCGUCCGACUAGAGUGAGCCUGACGGUGAGGGACGAAAGCCAGGGGAGCGAACGGGAUUAGAUACCCCGGUAGUCCUGGCCGUAAACGCUGCGCGCUAGGUGUUGCAUGCUCUACGAGGGCAUGCAGUGCCGAAGAGAAGUUGAUAAGCGUGCCGCCUGGGAAGUAUUACCGCAAGGUAGAAACUUAAAGGAAUUGGCGGGGGAGCACCACAAGGGGUGGAGUCUGCGGUUUAAUUGGAUUCAACGCCGGAAAUCUCACCGGGAGUGACGGCAGGAUGAAGGCCAGGCUGAAGACCUUGCCGAACAAGCCGAGAGGAGGUGCAUGGCCGUCGUCAGCUCGUACCGUGAGGCGUCCUGUUAAGUCAGGUAACGAGCGAGACCCGUGCCCCUAGUUGUCAGCGAUUCCCUUCGGGGAAGGCGGUCACACUAGGGGGACCGCUGCCGCUAAGGCAGAGGAAGGAGCGGGCGACGAUAGGUCAGUAUGCCCCGGAUCUCCCGGGCUACACGCGGACUACAAUGACUGGGACAGAGGGCUCCAACUCCGAAAGGAGAAGGAAAUCCCUAAAUCCAGCCGAAGUUCGGAUUGUGGGCUGCAAUUCGCCCACAUGAAGCCGGAAUCCCUAGUAAUCGCGUGUCAUCAUCGCGCGGUGAAUACGUCCCUGCUCC
rnacentral:rRNA from 1 species